UCGAGAAUCUUUCGCAAUGGGGGAAACCCUGACGAAGCGACGCCGCGUGCGCGAAGAAGGCCUUCGGGUUGUAAAGCGCUUUGAGCAGGGGCGAAUGGUAACGUGUUAACAGCACGGUGCCCUGACGGUACCUGCAGAACAAGCCACGGCUAACCUCGUGCCAGCAGCCGCGGUAAGACGAGGGUGGUAAGCGUUGUUCGGAUUCACUGGGCGUAAAGGGGGUCUAGGUGGUUGUUUAAGUUCCUUGUGAAAUCCCGGAGCUCAACUCCGGAUGUGCAGGGGAUACUGAAUGACUGGAGCGUGUAAGACGCGUGCGGAAUACUGGGUGUAGCGGUGAAAUGCGUAGAUAUCCAGUAGAACACCAGUGGCGAAAGCGGCCCGCGUGUGCAUUGCUGACACUGACGCCCGAAAGCGUGGGGAGCAAACA
rnacentral:rRNA from 1 species